AAUAACGAACCAGUUUUAGUUCAUUUUUCAAGUUCGUUAUAUCCGGAUUCAACUGUAUGUCAUUUGUAAAAAGCAUUGUAGUUUUCCAAAAAAAAACCUUCGUUAAAUUAAGACCAGUUUAGCAACCUUCUAGACUUGGUAAUAGUUUAAUCACUGAAGCUGAAAAAGGUUUACUGUGAAUCUCAAAUUAAGCGUUCGGCUGACUGAUAAUAGAGAAAUUCCGAUUAGUGUGGAAUUUAAAAGGCAAAGUCGGCUUAUGGUUUCUAAUGCCGAUUUAAAAUAAAACAUUCAAAGAGUUACGUUAACCAAACGCAAACUUAAAAAUUAUCUUUCAUCGCAUCACACAGAGGAGGAACCAAAGCAAGACCAGCCCGAUUGCCUGAUUUGAACAGUUGGGAUUAUUUUGGGGACUUCAUUCGAGCUUUGCCUCUUGUAAUAGAAAUCGAACUUGGAUGGACCAAAGACACUUUUGGUAAUGUUUAAGGGCUAAGGAAGGGCCAACUGUUUUAGUUUCUUAAAUGGUUUAUAAGAAACAACUCCUCAAGUUCGUUCAGCUGCCAGAACUACGUUUGAAUUAGUGAGAAAUGAUUGUUGCUAGAGGAGAUAGAGCUGCAAUUGAAAACUACCUGGCCUCGAAGGAGGAUGAGGAAUCAGAAGAUUCAGCACGUGAUGAGCAAGAGGCCGAUAAAAGCAAAAACACGGUUCUGAUCCUUCUGAUCGGUCUGGAGGUGGUUCUGUUGCUGGCGUUCCUGAUCACUUUCUCAGUUUUGUAUAUAGAACGUCGAUGUAACUAAAUAUACAACUAGUUAAGUUUGCA
rnacentral:lncRNA from 1 species